rnacentral:rRNA from 1 species
AGAGUUUGAUCAUGGCUCAGAAUCAACGCUGGCGGCGCGCUUAACACAUGCAAGUCGAACGAGAAAGGGGAGCAAUCCCUGAGUAAAGUGGCGUACGGGUGAGUAACACGUGGAUGAUCUACCUCUUGGUGGGGAAUACCUCUGGGAAACCGGAGACAAUACCGCAUAAGCUCGGAAGAGGAAACCCGCAAGGGGCCGAGAGAGGAGUCCGCGGCCGAUUAGCUAGUUGGUAGGGUAAAAGCCUACCAAAGCGAAGAUCGGUAGCCGGCCUGAGAGGGCACACGGCCACACUGGCACUGAAACACGGGCCAGACUCCUACGGGAGGCAGCAGUGGGGAAUCUUGCACAAUGGGGGAAACCCUGAUGCAGCGACGCCGCGUGAGCGAUGAAGCCCUUCGGGGUGUAAAGCUCUUUCGACGGGAACGAUAAUGACGGUACCCGGAGAAGAAGCUGCGGCUAACUACGUGCCAGCAGCCGCGGUAAUACGUAGGCAGCAAGCGUUGUUCGGAGUUACUGGGCGUAAAGAGUGCGUAGGUGGUGCCCUAAGUCUGUUGUGAAAUCUCCCGGCUUAACUGGGAGGGUGCGGUGGAAACUGGGGUGCUUGAGUGUGGGAGAGGUAAGCGGAAUUCCUGGUGUAGCGGUGAAAUGCGUAGAUAUCAGGAGGAACACCGGUGGUGUAGACGGCUUACUGGACCACGACUGACACUGAGGCACGAAAGCGUGGGUAGCAAACAGGAUUAGAUACCCUAGUAGUCC